rnacentral:rRNA from 1 species
ACCGGUACUAAUGACCCGUGAGGCUUAACCUUACAACGCCAGAGGCGUUUUGGGUUGAGAGACAGAAAGAAUUUUCAGCCUUGUUUACCGGAUAAGAAUAUGGUUCUGUUCUGCGGACGUGAGUCCGGAGGAUUUUGCGCUGAGGCAACGCGGCAUCAGCCCAAAAGACACAGGACAGGGCAGCAAGAAUUUGCCUGGCGGCUGUAGCGCGGUGGUCCCACCUGACCCCAUGCCGAACUCAGAAGUGAAACGCCGUAGCGCCGAUGGUAGUGUGGGGUCUCCCCAUGCGAGAGUAGGGAACUGCCAGGC